rnacentral:rRNA from 1 species
UACGGAGGGUGCAAGCGUUGCCCGGAUUUAUUGGGCGUAAAGCGUUCGCAGGCGUCUUGGUAAGUUACAUUUCAAAGACUGGGGCUUAACCUCAGGAGGGGAUGUAAUACUGCCAGGAUAGAAAGAUCUCGGGGCUACUAGAACUACCGGUGUAGGGGUGAAAUCCGUUGAUAUCGGUAGGAAUUCCAAGGGCGAAGGCGGGUAGCUAGGGAUUCUUUGACGCUCAGGGACGAAAGCUAGGGUAGCGAAAGGGAUUAGAGACC